rnacentral:rRNA from 1 species
GAUGAACGCUGGCGGCGUGCCUAAUACAUGCAAGUCGAGCGAACGGACGAGAAGCUUGCUUCUCUGAUGUUAGCGGCGGACGGGUGAGUAACACGUGGAUAACCUACCUAUAAGACUGGGAUAACUUCGGGAAACCGGAGCUAAUACCGGAUAAUAUUUUGAACCGCAUGGUUCAAAAGUGAAAGACGGUCUUGCUGUCACUUAUAGAUGGAUCCGCGCUGCAUUAGCUAGUUGGUAAGGUAACGGCUUACCAAGGCAACGAUGCAUAGCCGACCUGAGAGGGUGAUCAGCCACACUGGAACUGAGACACGGUCCAGACUCCUACGGGAGGCAGCAGUAGGGAAUCUUCCGCAAUGGGCGGAAGCCUGACGGAGCAACGCCGCGUGAGUGAUGAAGGUCUUCGGAUCGUAAAACUCUGUUAUUAGGGAAGAACAUAUGUGUAAGUAACUGUGCACAUCUUGACGGUACCUAAUCAGAAAGCCACGGCUAACUACGUG